UAGCAUAUUCAUUUGACGUUAGCUGCAGAAGAAGCACCGGCUAACUCCGUGCCAGCAGCCGCGGUAAUACGGAGGGUGCGAGCGUUAAUCGGAAUUACUGGGCGUAAAAGCGCAUGCAGGUGGUUUGUUAAAGUCAGAUGUGAAAAGACCCGGGCUCAAACCUCGGAAAUUGCAUUUGAAAACUAGGCAAAACUAGAGUACUGUAGAGGGGGUAGAAAUUUCAGGUGUAGCGGUGAAAAUGCGUAGAGAUCUGAAGGAAUACCGGUGGCGAAGGCGGCCCCUGGACAGAUACUGACACUCAGAUGCGAAAGCGUGGGGAGCAAACAGGAUUAGAUACCCUGGUAG
rnacentral:rRNA from 1 species